rnacentral:misc_RNA from 1 species
GUAGGUGAACCUGCGGAGGGAUCAUUACAAGUGACCCCGGUCUAACCACCGGGAUGUUCAUAACCCUUUGUUGUCCGACUCUGUUGCCUCCGGGGCGACCCUGCCUUCGGGCGGGGGCUCCGGGUGGACACUUCAAACUCUUGCGUAACUUUGCAGUCUGAGUAAACUUAAUUAAUAAAUUAAAACUUUUAACAACGGAUCUCUUGGUUCUG